rnacentral:rRNA from 1 species
UACGUAGGGGGCAAGCGUUGUCCGGAUUUAUUGGGCGUAAAGAGCGUGUAGGCGGCCAGAUAGGUCCGUUGUGAAAACUGGAGGCUUAACCUCCAGCGGUCGAUGGAAACCAUUUGGCUAGAGUCCGGAAGAGGAGAGUGGAAUUCCACGUGUAGCAGUGAAAUGCGUAGAGAUGUGGAGGAACACCGAUGGCGAAGGCAGCCUCCUGGGCCAACACUGACGCUCAUGCACGAAAGCGUGGGGAGCAAACAGG